GGAGUGUCGAAACGUUGGGUCUUUAUAACAAUUCUACUGGGCUUUGUAAUCAUUUAUUUAAACCAGAGUAGCGAGCAAAACAUGAUUCAAAGAACAAUUGCCCUUUAGAACAAAUAUGCACAUUUAUGCUCGAGUUACAAUGUUUGAUAUCUGGUGCCGGUUGUUCAAAGCUGGGUUAGCUUAACCCUAGGUUAACCUAAGAUUCAAAGCAAACUUCAUGACAGCUUGUCUAUAAAUUCGGAAAUAUUUCUUCAGAGAUCUUGUCUGGAUCGAUAGGAGUUUUCUUCUCUGAAAUAAACAGACGUGCAGAAAUACACAAACUAAAACAGCAGGUAAACUUUUACUGUCGUUCCAAUUGAAGUGUUUCUCAAAUAUUGAUUCAUACAUUACCUCAGGCUGACGAAUUCAUUUGAUCAAGUUCCUCGAAAUAUUCAUACACUUCCUAGUAUAAUAUUAUUGUAAACUUCCUGUUGAAUAGUUUGAAUGCACCAAUCACCUUUGUUGUUUGUGCAACCAAUCAUAAAUAGAAAGGAAGUGACCCGAA